UCUCUGGUGGCCCAGUGGUUAGGACUCUGUACUUUCACUGCUGAGGGCCCAGGUUCAGUCCCUGGUUGGAGAA
rnacentral:tRNA from 1 species